rnacentral:rRNA from 1 species
UACGUAGGUGGCGAGCGUUGUCCGGAAUCACUGGGCGUAAAGGGCGCGUAGGCGGUUAAUUAAGUCAGGUGUGUAAACCGCAGGCUUAACCUGAGGACUGCACCUGAUACUGGAUAACUUGAGUGCAGGAGAGGGCAGUGGAAUUCCUAGUGUAGCGGUGAAAUGCGUAGAUAUUAGGAGGAACACCAGUGGCGAAGGCGGCUGCCUGGACUGCAACUGACGCUGAGGCGCGAAAGCGUGGGGAGCAAACAGGAUUAGA